ACUCGUCUUCGGUCUCUUAUCUUCCUCCUAAACUCACUUCCUCAAAUCUCACAGAUUCAACCUCAAAUCUCACAAACUAAAUACCCAUCUCAAAAUCAAAACCCGUGUAUCAUCAGAUCUAAAAGAGAACCCCUCUUUUGUAACCCUGGAUUUAACCCAAAGCAAACAUUCAUCUCAUUUCAGCUCGUCGUUUUCCACAUGAAGGAGAUUGAUAUCCUUCAUAUCCAUACAACUCACAUCACCGAAUCAAGCAUGAUUUCAAAACCUAAUCCUAAGCGCAUCGUUGAAUCAAAACCAAUCUCAGAAUCAGAAUUUUAUAUCCCCCAAUUUUGUAACCCUGGAAUUCUUUUCUCCUAAAUCAAAGCAAACCCUCGUCUCAUAUUCGACAGAGUUGAGAGUACAAGAAGAAGAUUUCACCAGUUUUGUGGUUUUGAUGGGUUUGAUAAGGAAGGUGGUGCUGUUGUUGCAUAGAGUUGAUGGUGUGGGUGAUUUUGUUGGUGGUAGCAGGUGUUGGUGGUGUUGUUUUUGCUACAGAAUUUGGGAUUUAAUUUGUGGUGGUGCAUUUGUUUGUGAUGAAUCCCUUGGUUUUUUUAUGAGAAUGGGUGGUGUUGGAGGUAGAAAUUGGUGGACAUCCGACUGAAAUCAGUGGUUGGUAAUUUUUGCUUGUAGUUGUAGUUAGUGGUGUAUUUGUUUAACUUUUAUAAGUAUUUAUGAAUUCACCGGAUCCUGUUUGGAUAACAAAGAUAUUCGGUGCUCAUCAGUUUGAGAUUGUUCAACCAUUGGUAUAAUAGACCAUCUUUCCUUUAAAUGAACUUCAAAAAGAAAUUUUAAGGACGAUACUCAUUAACUUGUCCACCAUUUAUUGUAUUACUAGUUUCAGGUUUUUGGUGUAUGAUGCCGGCACCAAAUACCAUAACAUGCCUUUGAAGGUGAUGGUGCUGGUAAGGAAUUGUAUGCAUAUGGAGGAGGUGGCGACUGUGAUGGUGGGUGGGUACUUGUAAAGGUUUGUAGGUGGACGAGAUUUUGAUGGUUGAGGUGUGGAUUUGUUUAGGGUGUAGUGGAGCCGGUGAUAGUAAAGGUAGCAGUGGUGACUUAUGGUAGUAUGGGGCGGGUACUUGUGAUGGUGGCGGCAGUGACUUGUAGUAGUAGUAUAGUGUAUGCCCUUCUUGCUUACAGCUUAUGGAGAUUAAGGCAUGCCCACGAUGCUAAAUACCUAUGAGUUUUAUCCACUCAAAAGAAUACUUUUAUCACUUUCUCUUUUAAGGUUUCAUGUACGCAGACUUUGUGAAGUCAAAGCCACCAAAUAAAUGACUGUUCAUGAGGGGUGUAUCUACCAGUUGAAACUGUUCGGUUACAAAGACUAUCUAGAUAAUCCACCACCGUUAGGUUUCAAACAAGGAUAAACAUGAACCAUGUAAACCAAGAAACUGGAAUGGUGAAGCCUAGACUGUUCCCCAUACUUUCAGAUUGGCAGAGAGACUGCACCAUGGAGGAUGUAUUGACCCAGUUGAAGAAAGAAAUGGCGUCUCCCCAGAACUGUAAGCUUUCAAAACCUCUUGGAGGUAAAGUUACCCUAUUUCCUCUUUACUUUAUAUGGCACGUAACUUGUCAGAAGUUUUUCUAGAAGAUCUAACAGGCCGAUAAUAUCCUUUCUUGCAUUAACCCGGUGGUCAGGUUAGUCAAAAUAAUGAGGAAGGUAAUGACUAUCUUGUUUGUUAGUACUCGAACUUUUUUUAGUUGCAUUUUUUUUUUUUUAAUAAUGUGAACAUGUGACGGUAAAUCAGCUCAGCUGUUCUUUAUUAUAAUGCUAUAUAUAUUAAAUUUCAUAUAGCUUCCUUCAAUUAAUUCGAUACCCUCGGAUGCAGAGUAUCCAUUGACCUUGGGGUAUAGGAACUUAUAUAUAUUAAAUUUCAUAUAAGUUCUAACAAUUUUUAGGCUAUUCCUAUGUUCCUGGACAAGCAGUGCGUCACCAUGGUAGCCGUUAUGGUGCCAAGGCAACAUGUUUGCAUAAAUUUAUGAAAAAACUUAAAAUUUAUUUGCUUUAUUUCUUCUCAUUCUCUUUUCCUGCAUUAAUUUCAGCACAUGUUUAAGAUGGAGCAGGAAGAGUACAGCGAGGAAAAAAUUAACUGGAGCAACAUUGAGUUCAUUGACAAACAAAAUGGCCUGGAUUUGACUGAAAAGUUACUUUUCCUUUAUAUUAACAAUUCCUAGAAACAGAACAAAAAUUCUGGUUGAGAAGGUUUCAAAUAUGUAGUUUGUGAAUCUAGUAAUGUUAAGGAUAAGUCGGUUCAUUACAUCCUUCAUGUCCAUUGUGCCAAGUGCUUAAAAAGAAUGAGGUUUGGUAUUAAUGAAUCCCUGCUGUAAUACCUUGUUCAGAAUGGAAUUUCAUUGUGUAAAUUCAAACUAAGUUCAUAAUUUUGUAAAAGUUGCAUGGAUGAAUAAUGUUGUAAGGAUGAGUGAUAUUCUUAUCAGGUCAGGGUUUAAGAUUAUUUGUAAUUCUAAAAUUUCGUAAUAUGUAACUUUUUUUUAA